rnacentral:rRNA from 1 species
AUUGAACGCUGGCGGCAGGCUUAACACAUGCAAGUCGAGCGGAGAUGAGGUGCUUGCACCUUAUCUUAGCGGCGGACGGGUGAGUAAUGCUUAGGAAUCUGCCUAUUAGUGGGGGACAACAUUCCGAAAGGAAUGCUAAUACCGCAUACGUCCUACGGGAGAAAGCAGGGGAUCUUCGGACCUUGCGCUAAUAGAUGAGCCUAAGUCGGAUUAGCUAGUUGGUGGGGUAAAGGCCUACCAAGGCGACGAUCUGUAGCGGGUCUGAGAGGAUGACCAGCCACACUGGGACUGAGAACCGGCCCAGCCUCCUACGGGAGGCAGCAGUGGGGAAUAUUGGACAAUGGGGGGAACCCUGAUCCAGCCAUGCCGCGUGUGUGAAGAAGGCCUUAUGGUUGUAAAGCACUUUAAGCGAGGAGGAGGCUACUGAGACUAAUACUCUUGGAUAGUGGACGUUACUCGCAGAAUAAGCACCGUCUAACUCUGUGCCAGCCGCCGCGGUAA